GCGAGAGUGGCGGAAUUGGUAGACGCGCAGGAUUUAGGUUCCUGUGCCGCAAGGCGUGCGGGUUCGAGUCCCGCCUCUCGUA
rnacentral:tRNA from 1 species